rnacentral:rRNA from 1 species
UACGUAGGGCGCGAGCGUUAUCCGGAAUUAUUGGGCGUAAAGAGCUCGUAGGCGGUUUGUCGCGUCUGCUGUGAAAACUGGAGGCUCAACCUCCAGCCUGCAGUGGGUACGGGCAGACUCGAGUGCGGUAGGGGAGAAUGGAAUUCCUGGUGUAGCGGUGAAAUGCGCAGAUAUCAGGAAGAACACCCGUGGCUAAAGCGGUUCUCUAGUACGGUACUGACGCUGAGAGCGACGAAGCGUGGGGAGCGAACAGG